GGCUGCAGCCUUUUCAAAUUAGAAGCAAUGUCACACAAUAGUAACUCCUCCUUAUCCACCUUUCUCUGUGUGCUGGGAACCAGCUGAGUGCUUGCUAGGUCUGCACUGCCUCACUGAAACCUCCUGACAGUCUCUGAAGAAGGCACGACUGUUGUCCCAUUUUUCAGAUGAGGAAACUGAGGCUCAGAGAAGUGUUUCAAGAGCCUGAAAUUCUGAUCUGAAUAUGCCAAGAAGUCUUUUCAGUCUGUCUUGGUUGCAGAAGUGUCGUGGUGCCAGAAAUCUGGAGUCAGCGUUACCUCGUGAGGACAAUCAAUAAUCUUCUGCCUCAUAUUUUGGGUCUUUUCAACCUCUGGGAGUGGGACUCCCCCUAAGGCUUCUUUUUGUCCAUCUUGCCUUGUGAAUAAGAUGACAAAGCUCAGGAAGCCAAGACCAUAAUGCUUUCGGGGUCGCCUUGUGGAAGUUGCCAGGACAUUAGCUUUGGGGGACCUGCUUGAAUAAUGGGAGGAAUUAGGGGAAUCUCAGUGGAUUCCACACUGGCCAGGGCCUUGAGCAGUGCUGGCAAAUCUUUUAAAGAUGAACGCUCGAAAUGGAGCCCAAACCCAUGUAUUGCCAGCACUGAAAUUAAACCUGAAUACUAAGGUUCUAGUCCAGAAGAAAGAACUCAUACAUUAACAACUUUGAUCAUAAAAGAAAAUACUAGGCCCUAGGUUGCCACUACUGGCCUAGAACAAACACUGUCCCUGCCCCUGGUAAGCCUUUUAUUUCUUUAAAGGACCUACUGCUUGCAAUGCAGGUGAGCUUUUUGUGUGGCUGUAGCCACAAUCAUGGUUUUGUUCGUUGGUUUGUUUUGUGAGCAGAACAGAUUUUUUUUUCUUUUGCAUUUGAAGAAAUUUGAUAGCUUAUGACUUCAUUGGUUUGGAAUGGAAUCAGAUGAAAGUCUCUUUCCAAAAAUUCUAGAAGAUUACUCCUAUUUUAGCUGGAGAAGCAGUCUGCUAAUGGGAAAGCGUAGUUUUCUAACUUUUAUUUAGCUUUAGACACAGUGACUCAUGAGUAUUGGCAGCUCACAGUGCUGUAAUCCACCUAUUAGAUCUUCUCUUGGUUCUUGGGUGCUCAGUGUUCUCAGCCUCAGACAAACUGGUGCAAAGAUUAUAGCUCUUCAGGAGCUCAUAAUAAUCCCACCUUUUUUGAGUUUUAAUUUUCUCAAGAGUUGAAUUAUGGCAUUAAUAACCAUUUCGUGCCUCAUAUUUUUGGGUGUUUUCGAUCUCUGGGAAUUUCACAGUAUUGUUGUGCUUUUACAAUAAUUGCCUAACCCUGCACCAGACGCUUACAAGCCCUUGGGAAGAAAUACCUAUCCCUUCCUUUCUGGAUUCUCUGCAAAAAAAUAGUUGUAUAUGCCUUAAUUAAAAUCAUUUCUUGUCGGGCACAGGCGCUCAACAUACUCCGCCCAGGGCCAAGAGCCACGUCAGCUUCCGCAAUGCGUUAUGUCCCUCUCCAAAUAAACUUCUCCGCGGCAACUAGUGGUGUUUACUCCGUGGCAGCUUGUGAUUGGCCACAGUCAGAUAGGCAGCUUGUGAUUGGCCACAGUCAGAUAGGCAGCUUGUGAUUGGCCACAGUCAGAUAUAUAAGCCAGAACCCGCCUCAAUAAAGCAGCAAUUACCUGUUACCAACAA